GGAAUAUGAAGAAAAAA
rnacentral:miRNA from 1 species